CCCGACCCACCCCCACCCCAUCCCCGCCCCAGAAAAGGCUGCACCCCAUGGCUCCUCUCUAGGUUGGUACCGGGCCACCCCUUCCCCAAGGCCAACCCCCUCGGAGGACUCUGCGACAACCCCCGACGGGCACGGAGCCCCUCCUCAUCGCCACCCCGCGGCUCCACGCGAUCUCUCCUCCCCCGGCGCGGCUCCUCCCCACUGCUCUCGAGCCGGCCUCCUCCCCACGUCGCAGGACCUAAAGUCCCCUUCCCUGACUUCUCCAAGCCACCCCACGCCCCGCCUGAAACCCUGCAGACCCCGGCCACCAGAGCCACCACCUUCCUUUAUCCUGGCCCUCCACGCUAAUACAACACCCGGCCACCAGCCACCUACUGCCUGCCACCAUCCCCACCCCCACAGCCUCCUGGGACUUGGCCCCUCCACCACCACUAGUCCAGGUGACCCUGCAGUGACAGUGAGGGAACUGAGCCCCGCAGCCAGCUGGCCCUGCACAGGUCCCCUCACGGGCUGUGUAAACUCGGGGUCCCCUUCCUACACCCAUUUGGGGAGUGGGUCCCUUCAGCUCCGAUUAUGGGCUGAGCUCCUGAGAGGACCUUUGGAAGCAGAGCUGUGUCCCCAUUAACAUCUGGCUCUGGAAAACCUCCCCUCCCCCAAUGUCUGGCCCUUUCCAGACCCUGGCGCUGACCCCUCCCCAGGGCCUCUCCUGACUCCUGGGCGGAUGAAUCAGCCCUACUGAGCUCAGGGUGGUGAGAUCACCCUGACCAGUGCAGUAGCUGGUUGCAAUGGGUCUGUGUUGCCUCCCAAGUCAUCUGGAGCAAGGGUUUUGGAGUCAGAUCAGCCAAGGCUGCAGUCCUGGCUGGCCCAUUCCUUGGCGGAUGAUCUUGUGCCUCCCUGAGUUUCAGUGUCCCAAUUUUCUGAAAAUAGAGAUAAUUCCUGCCUUAUAAAAGGUAGCUAAGGGGCCGAGGAUUUAGCUCAGUGGCAUAAGUGCCUGCUUGGCAAGUGCAAGGUCCUGAGUUUGAUUUCCGGUACAAAAAAAAAGGGGGCUGGGGAUUUAGCUCAGCAGCAUAAGCGCGCCUGCCUUGCAAGUGUGUGGUUGUGAGUUCAAUCCCUGGUACUGAUAAAAAAGGAAAAAGACAAAAAAAAAAAAAAAAAAAGAGAGAGAGAGAGAGAAAAGAAAAGGACAGAAAAACGGUGACUGAGAGAAUCAAGAUGGAAAGUACCUGGCCCUCCUACCUCCAAGCGCAGGUACACUUGAUAGUGGUAAAUGUGAUGACGUGGGUUGAACUCUUUUGUACCCAACAUCACCUGAGUCUGGGGUUAAAUCAUCAAGGAACGAGCUGGACUUGGGGAAAAUCUAUAUCCUCAAUCCAGAAUAGCUAUGAUCCAAGGCCUAGGGACCCCAGCUGGCCAAUAGGGGCCAGCCUCACACCCCUGGACAGGUGCAAAGCCAGAAGGUCACCAUCUUAGACCAGAUUGUGGAUGGGUGCUCAGUCCACCUAGGAAGGGGCUUCCAGGCUCCCAAAGCCCAGUCAACCUUCUUGGCCCUUCACCAGCCCCAGGGUGCCAUCUCCUGCUGUGUCGUACAGAAAGCAACUCCAGAAAAUUAGUGCCAGGUGCUGCCAUUAAAUCAUGGCCAUAAACUCAGGAUACUGUUACCAGCAUGCAUAAAGGCCACCCAGGACUCAUUAAAACCCAGGAGGGACCCAGGUGUGGUGGUCCAUGCCUAUAAUCCCUGUACUCAGGAGGCUGAGGCAGGAGGAUUGUUGUGAAUUCAAAACCAGCCUGGGCUACAUAGUGAGUUCAAGGCCAGCCUGAACUACAGAGUGAGUCUCAAAAAACCAACAAUGACUUCUGUGAUCUCAGCACUUGGGAAACUGAGGCAGGAGGAGCGCCAUGAGUUAAGGCCAGCCUAGGCCACCUAAGCAAGGUCAAGGCUGGCCUGAACUGCAUAAGAAGACCUUGUCUCAAAAAAAGCAAUAAUAGCCGGGCAUGGUGGCUCAUGCCUAUAAUUCCAGCACUCAGGAAGCUGAGGCAGGAGCAUCAUUGCCAGUUUGAGACCAGCCUAGGCUACAAAGUGAGCUCAAGGCCAGCCUCAACUGCAUAGAGAGUCCCUGUCUCAAAAAGACAAAAAAAAAAAAAAAAAAGGCUGGAGAUAUAGCUCACCACAAGGUUCUGGGUUCAAUCCCCAGUGCCAGCCUACCCGUAAUGUUAUAUAUUUUAUAUCCCCCAAAGUUUUAAACAUCCCAAGAACUUUGCCCUAAGGCGCUCCCUUUAGGCCCCUGAAGGCUGCUCCAGAUCUGGCCCUGUCCCAGCUUCCGCAGCACUGCCCCUCGGGCUUCCGUGAGCGCUGUGUGGGGUUUUACUUGUAGGCUUUAUAAACCCAGCUCACCACAGUACUAAGAGAGGACCUCACCAACCAGCUGUGUGACCGACCACAGGCCAGACGACUCACCCUUGCAAACCCUGGCUUUCUCCUCUGUGAGAGGAGAUAAUGAUCUUGGCUGGGCCCAGGCCCAGGCUUGUGGGCACUCAGUGUCACUGAAAGACCCCAGACAAAGAUGCCGCCUGCCCAAGGCUCAACGUCCCCAUCAACAAAGGGCAUUUGUGUCCCCCAAACACUGGAUCCUUUGGCCAGCACCGCUGAUCUCCUCUGUGCCUCCCGCCGUGCCAGCUGUUGGCACUCACCAAUCCACGCCCAGCGCCUGGAUUCACCUGUCCUGAACAUUUCACAUAAAAGGCAUCUUGCACGCGCCUGCGAUCUCUGUCUGGCUUUCUCACUUAGCAAAUUAGCCAGAAUCACUGCUUCCGCAGCUGUAUUUUUUAAUCGU